GACGAACGCUGGCGGCGUGCUUAACACAUGCAAGUCGAACGGAAAGGCCCUGCUUGCAGGGUACUCGAGUGGCGAACGGGUGAGUAACACGUGGGUGAUCUGCCCUGCACUUCGGGAUAAGCCUGGGAAACUGGGUCUAAUACCGGAUAGGAGCCAUUUUUAGUGUGAUGGUUGGAAAGUUUUUUCGGUGUAGGAUGAGCUCGCGGCCUAUCAGCUUGUUGGUGGGGUAAUGGCCUACCAAGGCGGCGACGGGUAGCCGGCCUGAGAGGGUGGACGGCCACAUUGGGACUGAGAUACGGCCCAGACUCCUACGGGAGGCAGCAGUGGGGAAUAUUGCACAAUGGGCGCAAGCCUGAUGCAGCGACGCCGCUUGGGGGAUGACGGCCUUCGGGUUGUAAACGCCUUUCGCUAGGGACGAAGCUUUUUGUGACGGUACCUAGAUAAGAAGCACCGGCUAACUACGUG
rnacentral:rRNA from 1 species